rnacentral:rRNA from 1 species
GGCGAACGGGUGAGUAACACGUGAGGAACCUGCCCCGAAGACCGGGACAACACCGGGAAACCGGUGCUAAUACCGGAUGCCUACACCGGAUCGCAUGGUCUGGUGAAGAAAUGGAUUCCGCUUCGGGAUGGCCUCGCGGCCUAUCAGCUAGUUGGUGAGGUAACGGCUCACCAAGGCGACGACGGGUAGCUGGUCUGAGAGGAUGUCCGGCCACACUGGGACUGAGACACGGCCCAGACUCCUACGGGAGGCAGCAGUUAGGAAUCUUGCGCAAUGGACGAAAGUCUGACGCAGCGACGCCGCGUGCGGGAUGAAGGCCCUCGGGUUGUAAACCGCUUUCAGCAGGGACGAAAUUGACGGUACCUGCAGAAGAAGCCCCGGCCAACUACGUGCCAGCCGCCGCGG